rnacentral:tRNA from 1 species
AGUAAUAUGGCUGAAGUUUAAGCAAUAAAUUGUAAAUUUAUUUAUAAGAUAAAAUCUUUUUUACUA